CCUACGGGAGGCAGCAGUGGGGAAUUUUGGACAAUCGGGCGAAGAGCCUGAUCCAGCAAUGCCGCGUGCAGGAUGAAGGCCUUCGGGUUGUAAACUGCUUUUGUACGGAACGAAAAGGCUCUGGCUAAUACCUGGGGCACAUGACGGUACCGUAAGAAUAAGCACCGGCUAACUACGUG
rnacentral:rRNA from 1 species